rnacentral:rRNA from 1 species
UUAAAAAACGCUCGUAGUUGGAUAUUUGUUGAGAACUGCCGGUCUACCCCAGUGGUCAGCACACGGUCUGUCCUCGGCACUUUCCUGGGGAGAGUGUUUGCACUUCACUGUGUGGCACAUGAUCCAGAACUUUUACUUUGAGGAAAUGAGAGUGUUUCAAGCAGGCGCCUGUCGUGAAUACGUUAGCAUGGAAUAAUAGCAUGGGACCGCGGUCUGAAGCUGUUGGUUUUUGGGCCGUGGUAAUGAAAAUAGGGAUAGUUGGGGGUAUUCGUAUUUAACUGUCAGAGGUGAAAUUCUUGGAUUUUUUAAAGACGGACUACUGCGAAAGCAUCUGCCCAGGAUGUUUUUAUUGAUCAGGAACGAAAGUAGGGGAUCGAAGACGAUCAGAUACCGUCCUAGUCUUAACCAUAAACCAUGCCGACUAGAGAUUUGGGUCGUCAGAAUCGUGACGCCCUGAGCACCUUAGGGGAAACCAAAGUCUUCGGGUUCCGGGGGGAGUAUGGUCNCAAGGCUGAAAACUUAAAGGAAU